GCAGGACCUGGCCAGUGCUUCCCUGGAGGUGAGAGCCACCCUAGGGUAGGGGAAAUAGGAAUGAUAGAGGGACUGAAGGGUGAUCUCUUUGACCUCUGAUCCUACCCACAGGAGGUGAAUCAACUCUGGGCUGGCCUGGGCUACUAUUCUCGUGGCCGGCGGCUGCAGGAGGGAGCUCGGAAGGUAAGGGGAUGGCAGGAGGGUAGGAACCCAGGAGUCUUGGGUGUCUCAUAAUCUUGAGUCUUGCACUCCAAUCAGGUGGUAGAGGAGCUAGGGGGCCACAUGCCACAUACAGCAGAGACCCUGCAGCAGUUCCUGCCUGGCGUGGGGCGCUACACAGCUGGGGCCAUUGCCUCUAUCGCCUUUGGCCAGGCAACCGGUGUGGUGGAUGGCAACGUAGCACGGGUGCUGUGCCGUGUUCGAGCCAUUGGUGCUGAUCCCAACAGCACCCUUGUCUCCCAGCAGCUCUGGUAGGAUGUUGGGGUAACAAGGGUGCUUCAGGGGUGUCUCCAAAGGAGCUCUGGCUCACAGCAGUGUUCCCUUCUUUUAGGGGUCUAGCCCAGCAGCUGGUGGACCCAGCCCGGCCGGGAGAUUUCAACCAAGCAGCCAUGGAGCUAGGUGCCACAGUGUGUACCCCACAGCGCCCACUGUGCAGCCAGUGCCCUGUGGAGAGCCUGUGCCGAGCACGCCAGAGAGUAAGCCUACUGGGGAAGGGGCAGUGAGAAGUCCUAAGGAGUGACUCUGCCCUAUGACACUCAACCCUGUGCCUCUCAGGUGGAGCGGGAACGGCUCUUAGCCUCAGGGAGCCUGUCGAGCAGUCCUGACGUGGAGGAGUGUGGUGAGCACCAAACCUAGACCCCACCCCAGCCCUUCCUGGCCCAGUCAGAAGCCCCAUUCUAGUUCUUCCUCUAACCUGAGUAAGAUUCUGCAGAACCCGGCCAAAGCCUGCUCUCUAGGUUGGCCCCUAAAGCCCUCUUGGCCUGAGCAGGGUUCGGGGAUCUCCGUUCCCAGCUGCCAACACUGGACAGUGCCACCUGUGCCUGCCUCCCUCGGAGCCCUGGGACCAGACCCUGGGAGUGGUCAACUUCCCCAGAAAGGCCAGCCGCAAGCCCCC
rnacentral:sRNA from 1 species